rnacentral:rRNA from 1 species
ACUCAAAUGAAUAGACGGGGACUUGCACAAGCAGUGGAUUAUGUGGUUUAAUUCGACGGUAAACGAAGAACCUCACCAGGGUUUGAAACCUAGAUGAAUCGUAUGGAAACAUACGCGUCUCACAAGGACAUCUAGGCAGGUGCUGCAUGGUCGUCGUCAGUUCGUGGCUUGAGUUGUUCCCUUCAGUGGGGAAACGAACGCAACCCUCGUUGCCUGUUACAAGUGUCAGGCGAGACUGCCCCCGCAAGAGUAUUCAAUCAUUUGAAUAUUGUUGCGGGGGAGGAAGGCGAGGAUGACGCCAGAUCAGCAUGGCCCUCUGAUACCCUGGGCUACACACAUAAUACAAUCGCCGUUACAACACGACGCAAUGAGGUAACUCGGAGCAAAUCGUUAGAAAAGCGGCGCCAGUUCGGAUUGGGGUCUGCAACUCGACCCCAUGAAGCCGGAAUUGCUAGUAAUCGCAGGUCAGCUAUACUGCGGUGAAUACGUUCUCAAGUCUUGUACACACCGCCCGU